UACGUAGGGGGCAAGCGUUGUCCGGAAUUAUUGGGCGUAAAGCGCGCGCAGGCGGUUCUUUAAGUCUGGUGUCUAAGUGCGGGGCUCAACCCCGUGAUGCACCGGAAACUGGGGAACUUGAGUGCAGAAGAGGAGAGCGGAAUUCCACGUGUAGCGGUGAAAUGCGUAGAGAUGUGGAGGAACACCAGUGGCGAAGGCGGUGCUCUGGGCCGGUACUGACGCUGAGGAGCGAAAGCGUGGGUAGCAAACAGG
rnacentral:rRNA from 1 species